rnacentral:rRNA from 1 species
UACGUAGGGUGCAAGCGUUAAUCGGAAUUACUGGGCGUAAAGCGCGCGCAGGCGGUUAUGUAAGACAGAUGUGAAAUGCCCGGGCUUAACCUGGGAACUGCAUUUGUGACUGCAUGGCUAGAGUUUGGCAGAGGGGGGGUAGAAUUCCACGUGUAGCAGUGAAAUGCGUAGAGAUGUGGAGGAACACCGAUGGCGAAGGCAGCCCCCCUGGGCUAACACUGACGCUCAUGCACGAAAGCGUGGGGAGCAAACAGG